rnacentral:lncRNA from 1 species
AAGUGCUUAGCAGCUUUGCCUGGGCUUUACUGUUGGAUAUCACUUGGGUGAAAUCUUCUCAGUCUCCUCCCUUAAUGAUGUUUUAAUUUCUCUGCGUUUCCCUGAAACCUGGCAGGACUGGGAGCUGACAUGGGGCAAACCUCGCUGUGCCAACCUUGGCGCUGCCAUCUACUCACCAGGUAUGAAACCACUUUGUACAUUUGCAUCUACUUUCUGUUUCUCACCACAUCUCAAAUGUUCCAUCAGAUCCCCCACGUCAGUGAGUGAUGUUUUAGGUAUGCGUGGCUCAUAGCAAUUGUUAGAGCAGUGCUUGAUGUAUUUCUCACUUUGGGCUGAAAGAAUUAAGCCAACAGGCUGCAGCCAGGCAGGGCUCUCAGGUGGGUGCAGUACAGAACUGCUCCUCGUGCCCACCUAGUCUCCACUGGUCACUCCCUUUCUUCCCACUUGCAGGAUUUCUUCUUUUCUUCCAGCAGGGUGCAUUGCAGUAGUGCUCUCUGAGUCUUGGUGCUAACCCUGCUUUGUUUUGGGUUUGUUCUAUGCACAGAUGGUGGUGUUGUAUUUGCUUGCUUAUAGGGUUUUUUUUUUGUUUCUUUUGCUGCUUGUUGUUGUUUUACUUGUUUGUUUGUUUGUGGUGUAUUGCUUUCAGGGAAAUCGUUGCUUUGGAUGACUUUGCUCAACAAGUAAAGAACAGGCGGGCUGUCCUUCCUGCAAGACAGAAACCCAAAGCCACCUGUUUCCUAGUGAUUCUUCGGGAAGCGGAACAAGCCAAGGGCUGUGCCUGUCUUCUGUGCAUCCCUGGUCAGGCCUGCAAGAAAGCAAUUAUAGCUGAUAGAACGCAGCAAGGAGGAGCACCUUGGUAA